rnacentral:rRNA from 1 species
UACGUAGGGUGCGAGCGUUAAUCGGAAUUACUGGGCGUAAAGCGUGCGCAGGCGGUUUUGUAAGCCAGAUGUGAAACCCCCGGGCUUAACCUGGGAAUGGCAUUUGGGACUGCAAGGCUCGAGUGCGGCAGAGGAGACUGGAAUUCCUGGUGUAGCAGUGAAAUGCGCAGAUAUCAGGAGGAACACCGGUGGCGAAGGCGGGUCUCUGGGCCGUAACUGACGCUGAGGAGCGAAAGCAUGGGGAGCGAACAGG